AUCACUAAUUUCCGUCGAAGCUUUGUUUUGUUUGUGUCUUAAAACCCUCACAAUCACCCACGAAGUGCCAGUUGCUGACGCUCAAAUGUCUUGGUUGUUAUUGUCAUCCAGGUUUCGUUCUUCUUUUUCUUCUUCUUCUUUUAUUUUUCCCUUCUUAACAAGAAGACCAUAUUCUCACUCUACAUUCAUUCCCAAUAAUUUUGAUGAUGUUGAUAAUGCUGUUUCUUCAUUCAAUCACAUGUUUCGUAUGAAUCCUUCUCCAUCCAUCAUUCAAUUUAACAAGAUUUUAGGUUCCCUUGUUAAGUCUAACAACAAACACUACCCUACUGCUAUUUCUCUUUUUCACCAAUUAGAAUUCAACGGAAUUAUUCCUGAUAUUGUUACUUUCAAUAUUCUCAUUAAUUGUUACUGCCAUCUUCGGGAAAUGGAUUUUUCCUUUUCUAUGUUGGCCAAGAUUCUUAAAAUGGGUUAUCAGCCGGAUACCAUUACCUUUAAUACUCUUAUCAAAGGUUUGUGUGUUAAUGGUAAGGUCAAGGAGGCUCUGCACUUUCACGAUCAUGUGCUUUCACUUGGAUUCCACUUGGACCAAGUUAGCUAUGGGACCUUGAUCAAUGGCUUGUGUAAAAUAGGGGAAACAAGAGCAGCCUUGCAAAUGUUGAGAAAGAUUGAAGGGAAAUUGGUCAACACCAAUGUGGUAAUGUACAGCACAAUAAUCGAUAGUUUGUGUAAAGAUAAACUUGUAAACGAUGCCUAUGAGUUAUAUUCUGAAAUGAUUACAAAGAGAAUUUCUCCCAAUGUUGUCACUUUCAAUUCUCUAAUUUAUGGAUUUUGUAUUGUUGGUCAAUUCAAAGAUGCGUUUCGUUUGUUCCAUGAAAUAGUAUUGAAAAACAUCAACCCAGAUGUUUAUACUUUUAAUAUAAUGGUUGAUGCUCUAUGUAAGGAAGGAAAGAUGAAAGAAGCUAAAAGUGUGAUAGCUGUGAUGAUGAAAGAAUGUGUGAUGCCCGAUGUUGUUACCUACAAUUCAUUAAUGGAUGGAUAUUGCCUAGUUAAUGAAGUCAAUAAGGCCAAACAUGUGCUAAUCAUUAUUUCUAAAAUAAGAGUGGCUCCUGAUGCUCAUAGCUAUAGUAUCAUGAUUAAUGGAUUAUGUAAGGUUAAAAUGGUCGACGAAGCCUUGAGUCUCUUUUAUGAAAUGCGUUGCAGAGGAAUUGCUCCUAAUACGGUAACUUACAGUUCGCUCAUUGAUGGUUUGUGCAAAUCUGGGAGAUACUCUUAUGCUUGGGACCUUGUUGAUGAGAUGCAUGAUCAUGGCCAUCCACCCAAUAUAUUCACUUACAAUUCCUUAAUAGAUGCUUUAUGCAAAAACCAUCAGAUUGACAAGGCUAUUGCAUUAGUUAAGAAAAUCAAAGAUCAAGGCAUUCAACCAGAUAUGUGCACAUACAAUAUACUUAUUGAUGGACUAUGCAAAGGAGGACGACUUCAUAAUGCACGAGAUGUUUUUCAAGAUCUUUUGAUCAAGGGUUAUAGUCUAGAUGUUCAAACGUAUAAUAUUAUGAUCAAUGGACUUUGUAAAGUGGGUUUAUUUGAUGAAGCGGAGGUCUUGCUGUCAAAAAUGGAAGACAAUGGCAUAAUUCCUGAUGCUGUAACUUAUGAAACUAUCAUCCGGGCUUUCUUUCAUAAAGAUGAGAAUGAAAAGGCGGAGAAACUUCUUCGUGAAAUGAUUGCUAGAGGUCUACUUAAAUGGAAACACUAGUAGGUUUGCACGUCAACUGUUCCCUGUUAAGCGCAUCAAUUGCUUCGUGAUUUAUUACUCUGAAAGGCAAAAUGUAUUGUUCUAGAAACUAGAUGCAAUUGGCAGCAAAAAAUAUUCAGUUGAAGAAGCUAAAGUAUGACAUAAGCUACUUACGGUUUCUGACUGCUAUGUUAUAAUUCGUUCAUAUAUUGUCUAGUCUGUCUUGUAGUAUUUGUGAUCUUUGACUGGUGUGUGAUACAGUUCAGGAAUGUAAAAAUAAGUUUGGGAUAAUAGAAGAGGUUUGGUCAUUACAAUGAUAUCUUGGAUCUGGUUUGGUCAUUUGAUGUUGAAUUGUACACAGUUUUCUGUUUUCAAAAGGCUUAAUUGCACUUUUGGCCCCCUAUCUUUCCAAAAGUUGCGAUUUUGGCCUCCUAACUAAUUAAAAUACAAAACAGCCCCCUAUGUAUUGGAUCUUUGGCAGUUUUGGCUCCCAAGGCCACUUUUAACUUAAUCUUCGCUGACAUGGCACCUCACUUAAAGGAUGUGUGUGUCGAAUGGAGGUGAGUGACUAAACUAGAGAAGCAGUGCAAUAACAAACCAACUGCUCAAGUAACAAACAUUACUGACAAAGUUAUGAGUGUUAGUGGUGUAUUUUGAUUUUUAUUAUUUUGUGCACUUCUGAUUUAUAUCAAUGUCUUUGAUUUUCAUUUUCAAGAAGGCAAACUAACCAACUAAAAUUGACAUCGAAAAAAUCAAAUUUAACACCUUAAAAGGAGCACAUUUAAUUUCAAAAUCCAGUUAACUUUAAUAAUCAUCUUAAUUUAUAUACUCUUAAAUGUAAAUUAUCAAACGAGAAAAAACAAAUUUAGUUCAAUCAAUUUACAAGAUUGGUUUUUUUUUUUUUUUAAAAAAAGAAAAAAUUAUACUGAAUUAAGAAGAUCAUAGAUUGACAACCUGUUUCCAAUAAAUUUUCAUGUUCUAUUUUCCAUCCAAGGUAAAUACUGAUGGUGCUGCAACUAGAAACCCUAGAAAUGCUUCUACAGGUGAUAUAUUCAGAGACAAGGAAGGUUUGUGUAUAGGCUGUGUUGCUCAAAAUCUGGGAAAUGUAAAUGCUUACCAUGGAGAAUUAAUGGCUGCCAUCAUUGCUAUGGAAAUUGCACAAAGCAGAAACUUCAACCACUUAUGGCUAGAAACGGAUUCCCAGCUAGUUUAUUUGGCUUUAAAAUCUUCUUCAUCCAUUCCCUGGAAGUUGACAUUUAGAACAGACUAUCUGCCUUUGGAAAAUAAUGUGGGCAGACCAAGCAACAAUCAGAGCAGGUAUUGAGAAAUUUGCAUGGAGAAGAGUUGCUUUUUUCACCGAAUUCGAAACGAGGAGUACUUUAACUCUUUUGGAUGCUGACUGAGCAGCAUAUUCCGUGAGUUUGAGUCGUCUACCAGCGUAGUUCCUUUAGUGGUAUAAUCUGAAGGCCACGUCAUUUGGCUAUAAAGUUACCUUAUGGUUCACCAUGAUUGGGUCAUUCACUGUUGCUCCAUCUUGACUCAGAUUUCAGCUUGAUCAUGUAAACACAGUCACCAUUGAUCUUGUUUCGUGUUUUUCCAGCAUCGACUCAAUGGGCCAAACUGAUUCUGGUUCUGUUUCUUUCCUUCCCAGCACACCAAUCCAAUGGGCUAGUUGCACCAAAACUUAGUCAUUCUUUUCUGCUUCUGACACUAACACUUGUUCGAAGCAAUUAUCAUCGCCGCCUUUUUCACCUCACGACGACCCAGCGAAUGCAUGGUUUUGUCUUGUCCUCUCGACAUUCUUUUGUACCCAAAAGGAUGUCAAUAGCGUGCUAUAGCACAUCUGUAGCGGUAUAGCAAAGCAGAAGGAUGCAUGGCUGCUAUUGAAAGUCGGCAGUGGAGCAGUUUGCUGGAGUGCCCACUAUAGCAUCUAAGUCACUGCUGUUUGUGGCUGCAACAGCUGCUAAAAACCGUGUUUAAUUAACCAUUUUUUUAAUUUGAAUUUAAUGUUUAGUUCUUCUAAGCCUUAGAUGCUUAAACUUGUUGUUUUCUUGACUUGUUUUGGUAUUUAGUUCAUUCUAUGUUUGCUUAA